rnacentral:tRNA from 1 species
CAAAAUAGAGCUUGAAUUAGUUAAGCAUCUCACUUACGUUGAGAAGAUAUCGUGCAAGUCGAUUUAUUUUGA